UACGUAGGGGGCGAGCGUUGUCCGGAUUUAUUGGGCGUAAACGGUUUGUAGGUGGUCACGUGAAGUCGGAUGUGAAAUCUCCCGGCUCAACUGGGAGGGGUCAUUCGAUACUGGCGGGCUCGAGGCCGGUAGGGGGAAGCGGAAUUCCCGGUGUAGUGGUGGAAUGCGUAGAUAUCGGGAGGAACACCAGUGGCGAAGGCGGCUUCCUGGACCGGUUCUGACACUGAGGAGCGAAAGCGUGGGGAGCGAGCCGG
rnacentral:rRNA from 1 species